rnacentral:rRNA from 1 species
CUGGCGGCGUGCCUAACACGAUGCAAGUCGAACGGGGGUUUUACUUCGGUGGAACCCUAGUGGCGAACGGGUGAGUAACGCGUAGGCAACCUGCCCCCCGGAUUGGGACAACACGCCGAAAGGUGUGCUAAUACCGGAUACGAAGACAGUAUCGCAUGGUGCUGUUUUGAAAGAUGGCCUCUACAUGUAAGCUAUCGCCGGGGGAUGGGCCUGCGUCCGAUUAGCUGGUUGGUGGGGUAACGGCCCACCAAGGCGACGAUCGGUAGCCGGUCUGAGAGGAUGAACGGCCACAUUGGGACUGAGACACGGCCCAGACUCCUACGGGAGGCAGCAGUGGGGAAUCUUCCGCAAUGGGCGCAAGCCUGACGGAGCAACGCCGCGUGAGUGAGGACGUUUUUCGGAACGUAAAGCUCUGUUGUACCCGACGAAGGGCCUUCUAUGAACAAGAGGGGUAAUGACGGUAGGGUACGAGGAAGCCACGGCUAACUACGUGCC